AACCUUGUGUAUCCGUGCUGAGAUUUCGUCAAACACAAGACCACAAAGGCUGAUGAGACUACCAAGAUAAGUGAAGAG
rnacentral:pre_miRNA from 1 species